UCCUGCAUGGGGCUAAACUUUGAU
rnacentral:piRNA from 1 species